UACGUAGGUGGCAAGCGUUGUCCGGAAUUACUGGGUGUAAAGGGAGCGCAGGCGGGAAGCCAAGUCAGCUGUGAAAACUACGGGCUUAACUUGUAGACUGCAGUUGAAACUGGUUUUCUUGAGUGAAGUGGAGGUUGGCGGAAUUCCGAGUGUAGCGGUGAAAUGCGUAGAUAUUCGGAGGAACACCGGUGGCGAAGGCGGCCAACUGGGCUUUAACUGACGCUGAGGCUCGAAAGUGUGGGGAGCAAACAGG
rnacentral:rRNA from 1 species